UGCUCUUGUGCGUGAGGUAGGGUCA
rnacentral:piRNA from 1 species